AGAGUAGAAGAUACUGAUGAAGAAUUUCCUGAAGUCCCUGAGACGUCCACCGAGAAGUUGAUCUAUUUGCUAUGUCGGCGGAGCGGUCAGAAAGCGGGAAGCGGCUGCCGCGCUGCUGGGCGUGCGUAGCGCAACCUGCACCGCCGGCUGAAGCAGAGAGCAAAGAGGGGACGAAAUAGCCCCCGAGCCUCCCCCCGGGGCGGGGAGCAGCCGCGUGCCGGCUCUCGUUUUACUGCUGCUUCGAUCAAGUUCCUUGCGGAGCGUGACAUUGCCGAUGGAUUAGGACGUGGAGGUUCCUUCCAGUCCUUGGGGUGAAUAAAAAUUAUCAACUCUUGA